ensembl:snRNA U6 U6 spliceosomal RNA
GUGCUUGCUUGAGCAGCACAUAUGCUAAAAAAUUGGAACUAUACAGAGCAGAUUAGCAUGGCCCCUGCA